CUCCCAUCUGCUCUGCCAGAAACCAUGAUGAAAGAACAAGGUUCACAAAGUAGGAAUCUGCAGCUAUUUGUGAGCAUGUGGAUAGAGGUCCAGAUUAGAAGACUGUGCUUAUACAUGUGCAGCAAAAUGGCCCCAGGAAUCGUUCCCACAAUAGCUUUCGGGCAAACCAGUCAACUGAGUAAUGAAAAACCGACCAAUUGGUCUCGAGACUGUGAUGAACAGAGCUUCAAGUUAGCCUCUACCUUCCUGUGUGCGUCCUCAUCGGAGAUCAGUUGGCUUCCAGCCCCUGGCGAGCACCAGCCCGCUCCUCCCUGCCCUCCUUGCAAGAUGCUCAGAACCCUCUGCUAGCAGGUGAAGUUAAAGGAGCUCUGAAAACUCCCAAAGAGCACCUGUGCACACAAUUAAGAAAGUGUAUUUUUAGUGCAUGUUUAUUUUCUCAUUGUUAUUACUUCAUUAUGUGACUUCUUAGUGACCCUGAUGACUCAUUUGCAUCCAGAUCAUUAAAACCCUUUCAUUUGUCCAUUUAAACUGACUUGGGGUUUUAGCUAAUUAUCACUUCCUGGCAGCCUGAAGGUCAGACUAUUUCCUUUUGUUUCGCUCGGCAGUUAAUCCCCUCAUUAAAGGCGCUGGGAAAUGAAUAAUUAAACAUGUGCCAUUUUCAUAUUUCAGGUAAUGAGAGGCCCUCAGAUCCCGGAGGAUGCCUAAGAGGAAAAGCCAGGGGAGUGGUGAAGACGCUCUCUCCCGCACACAUGCCAUGGACUGUACAGAGGAAGGGUGGCCCCCUCCAAACCGCAGAGUGCAGGGAAAGUUGAACAGAGGAAGGAAGUCUCCCCCGAGGUUGGAAAGAUGACUAAAAUUUGGUUGGCCGAGAGAAGGGAAAAGAUGAUUCAAGUAAGUGAGGAAUGUGAGCACCGUGGGAAGGGUCUGGGCUGCACUCACAGCAGGACGUUGUCUGUGAGUCUACGACAGGCAGCACAGGGAAGGGACGCUGACCAGCGGGGGACAGUCCGAGGGUGGAGUGGAGGGCUGGCACUGUCUCCUGCCAUCAGUACAGAUGGCAGAGAAGGAACGAACAGGGCGAACCAGGAAAGAGCCCAUCCAGAGCUGCCCAGCAGACGUGCGGCGGACACGUUACCAAAAGGUCUGUGGGGCAGCGGCAGCCUGCACUCUGUCACAGGAGAAAGGAGGCUCUUCUCUUCUCCGUGGAACAUGGAAGCAUCUGAUAAAGAGAAGCCGUAAAGGCCUAGAUUUAAGAGGGUAAAUCGGGGCGAACUUGUUGAAAUUCUGCCAACUUUCCCAGAAGAAGCAAAAGACCCAAAAGUGAGAGUGGGCCUGGCAGAGCCCCGGGCACCAGCUUGGGCAGGGCCACCGUCACACCGGGCUCAUCCUCCCCACAUGUCCUGGAGGUGGCUCCAGGACUGGUGUGCACACAGGCUGGCCGCGGCUGGCAGGGGUGAGGCAAUGCCCCGGUGAGGAAGGAGCAGAGCCCUGGGCUCCGACUCAGCGUCUGGAGUCGCCCGGCCUGCCAUUGCUGCUGGGAUCUGUCCAGAUACAGUCUUCCAGAAGAGGAAGUUGGGGGAAAAAUAUGAUUCACUCUCCAGACUUCUCUGUUAUGCACAGGUGAGGCUCCUAGCUGGAAAGAUCGGGCCCCCAACUGCUGGUGACAAGUAGGAUGUCCUUAUGAAAGCCGUCUGAACUUCCUGAAUGUGAGUUUUCUCACAUGUAAAGUGCAGAUAGAAAUAAUAAUUACUCUGUGGGGCUGUUGGGGGACAAAAUGACCACAGCAGAAAUGAAGAGCUCUACUGACACCAGUGCACACUCAGUAGAUGGCAGAAAGAUACUGGCCGUAUCCAGCACUAAGCCGGUGGGAAGGUCACCGUCCAGAAACAUCCCCACGUGGUGACAGGAGGUUUAUGAUGGAGCCGCCUGGGUAACCAUUGCUUUGUCCAGCCCCAAAGUCUGCUGCUGAAGUGGGGCUGGGUGGGGCAAGAGACAAAGGGCAGGAGAGCAGCCCGAGGGUGCUGACGCUUUCAGGAGCUGACCCAGGAGGGGCCCGUGCUCACACUAGAUGAACCCGCAUCCUCUGUCAACAAUGCCUAAGCAGGUGACGUAAGGCGGCGAUGAGGAGCGGGAGUCCUUGCCGAAUGACUUCCUGUCCCGGGACCUUUCAUGCCCUACGCACCCCCGAUGUUCAGAUUCUGUCUGGAAACACCCCGUUCCCAAACGUGCGCUGGGUUCCCUCUUCCUCACAUUGUGGCCCAGUUUGGAUGACCAACUCUUUUUACUUCUUGCUAAUGCAAUAAAUCAAACUGUAGUUUUACUUCCAUUUUUUGGAUACUAGCGAGACUGGGUGUCUUUUCACAUAUAUAUGGGCCGUUUGUGUUUUCUCUGAGCUUUCCACUGACUGACUUACAUGACAGAAGGGAGUUAUCUUUGGAGUCAGUCUGAGUGCAGCAUUCACUGUGGCCGCUCCUCUUAUAUUUCGUUUACCUUUUUAAACUUCCUGCCUCUGAUUAGUCUAUUUAAUUUUUGAAAGUGUAUGAUAUUUAAGGGCGCACACAUACCUUAUCUUCUUUUGCCACAUUCCUGGCAAUAUGCAGAAUUCUUUCAUCUGUUCGAUCCCUCGUGAUCCAGAUCUGAACAUGAAAACGGAGACUGUCCAGUUCAUGUUUCGUCUGAGCUUGACAUCAUUCCAGGUUAACUGAGAAGCGCCCACUGGAUGGUGCUUAGUUUUUGCGCUGUACGGAACAUCCUUGGUGGCAGACUGCUGAAGAAGGAAGUCAGGAAGUUCGGAGGCCUCGAUU
rnacentral:lncRNA from 1 species